rnacentral:rRNA from 1 species
GACGAACGCUGGCGGCGUGCUUAACACAUGCAAGUCGAACGGAAAGGCCCUGCUGUUGUGGGGUGCUCGAGUGGCGAACGGGUGAGUAACACGUGAGUAACCUGCCCUUGACUUUGGGAUAACUUCAGGAAACUGGGGCUAAUACCGGAUAGGAGCUCCUGCUGCAUGGUGGGGGUUGGAAAGUUUCGGCGGUUGGGGAUGGACUCGCGGCUUAUCAGCUUGUUGGUGGGGUAGUGGCUUACCAAGGCUUUGACGGGUAGCCGGCCUGAGAGGGUGACCGGCCACAUUGGGACUGAGAUACGGCCCAGACUCCUACGGGAGGCAGCAGUGGGGAAUAUUGCACAAUGGGCGGAAGCCUGAUGCAGCAACGCCGCGUGCGGGAUGACGGCCUUCGGGUUGUAAACCGCUUUCGCCUGUGACGAAGCGUGAGUGACGGUAAUGUGUAAAGAAGCACCGGCUAACUACGUG